rnacentral:rRNA from 1 species
ACGGGUGCGUAACACGUAUGCAACCUACCCUUUACAGGCGGAUAGCUCGGGGAAACUCGAAUUAACCCGCCGUAAUAUAAUUGGAUGGCAUCAUUUGAUUAUUAAAUCUACGGAGGUAAAGGAUGGGCGUGCGUCUGAUUAGUUAGUUGGCGGGGUAACGGCCCACCAAGACGAUGAUCAGUAGGGGAACUGAGAGGUUGAUCCCCCACACUGGCACUGAGAUACGGGCCAGACUCCUACGGGAGGCAGCAGUAGGGAAUAUUGGUCAAUGGAUGGAAGUCUGAACCAGCCAUGCUGCGUGCAGGAAGAAGGCCUUCUGGGUUGUAAACUGCUUUUGCCAGGGGAUAAAAUGACCUUGCGAGGUUAAUUGAAGGUACCUGGUGAAUAAGCCACGGCUAACUACGUGCCAGCAGCCGCGGUAAUACGUAGGUGGCAAGCGUUGUCCGGAUUUAUUGGGUUUAAAGGGUGCGUAGGCGGCUUAUUAAGUCAGUGGUGAAAUACUCUAGCUCAACUAGAGGGGUGCCAUUGAUACUGAUGAGCUUGAGUACAGAUGAGGUAGGCGGAAUUGACGGUGUAGCGGUGAAAUGC